GUGCUCGCUUCGGCAGCACAUAUACUAAAAAAAAUUGGAAUGAUACAGAGAAGAUUAGCAUGGCCUCUGCACAAGGAUGACACACAAAUUCGUGAAGCAAAUUUAC
rnacentral:snRNA from 1 species